AGAUUACAGUGUCGAGGAGGUGGGUAUAAAACACAUCAAGAAGGACAAUCAAACAACAAUCUUAUAACAGCAUAACUGGAGCAGAGAGUCGAGUGUGGCCCUUUACGAGAGAGCAAGAGACAGAGACAGAGGUUACUCUGGGAGGCCAUACGCCUUGCCUCCUAGUAGAGAGAUUUGUUUUUGGAAAUUAAGAUGAAGACAUUUUGGUGCUUAGACUAUGCCUUUACAUUUUUCCUUUAAAUUACCUGACAUUUCUCCAAUGUUCACUCAUAUGAUUAAAAUAGUGAGAAUGAUUGCUGUGGUAUUUAUCUAAAUGAAAU